rnacentral:rRNA from 1 species
AGGACGAACGCUGGCGGCGUGCUUAACACAUGCAAGUCGAACGAGGUCCAUGAAGUAGCAAUACUUCGGAAGACCUAGUGGCGAACGGGUGCGUAACACGUGAGGAACUUGUCCCGGUCUCUGGGAUAACAGUUGGAAACGACUGCUAAUACCGGAUGACGUCGGAGCAUCGCAUGGUGCGCUGACGAAAGGGUUACUGGAUCGGGAGAGCCUCGCGGCCUAUCAGCUUGUUGGUGGGGUAAACGGCCUACCAAGGCAUCGACGGUAGCUGGUCUGAGAGGAUGAUCAGCCACACUGGGACUGAGACACGGCCCAGACUCCUACGGGAGGCAGCAGUGGGAAUCUUGCGCAAUGGGCGAAAGCCUGACGCAGCAACGCCGCGUGCGGGAAGAAGGCUCUCGGGUUGUAAACCGCUUUCAGCAGGAACGAAAUGACGGUACUUGCAGAAGAAGGUGCGGCCAACUACGUG